rnacentral:lncRNA from 1 species
UACAACAUGAUCCUUGACCACGUCCGUUUCUCGGCUCAGAGUAAGAAGUAAGAUACAACACGAUCCAUAAUCCCACUAUUAAAUUCAAAGAAAUAAUUUGCUAAGAAUAUUUCAAACAUUUAAUUUCUAAAUAGUUUGGGUUAAUAUAGAGAGUUGGCUGAUUUAUGUAAAAUAAUAUAAUUAGAUUGGUGACAAUAUGAUUAUACCAUAUAUAGUAAUUUCUACUAAAAUGCAAACUAAAACUAUCACAACUUGUUGCUUACAUUGUAUUUUUUUUAUAAAAUAUGAAUGAUUUUAUUCAACAUUGUUAUUAAAUAAGCAAGGGUAAUAGUGUCAAUUUCUUUAAAAAAAUAUGAGGUUCCAGCCAAUAGACAAAGAAUAGAAAUGGGGUGCCCUUGUUAAUUCAAUUCUUUUGCUUAUAUAGAAAAUAGCUUUGUCUAAAUUAGGAGUAUAUAAAUCACUUUUUAUUAUUUAUAUAUCAACAAGCAUAAUUUGGCUAAUAUAGAGCAUUACACGUUAAAAUUAAAUUAUAUACUAAAAGUGGAGCUUUAUCACCAAAACUACAAUUGUAUCACCAACAAAUUAACUAGAGGGAAAAGAUAAGACCUAACAAAUUAAGGACAAUAUUAAUUGACCAGUGUUGGUCCCUGAGUGGCUCUGGAAUGUUACUAUUAUAUUCAAAGAAUAAAGUUCUAAAGACUCAUGCACCAUAUAGAUAUAGCCAACCAUACGAAGCACUAUUGACCUGGUUCAUUAGCUUUGUGGGGUUUGUAAGUAUUUGAUCUAAUACUUACAAAAUUUGUCACAUUAAGUGGUUUUCAUGGUGACAGCAGUACUCUUAGAAAGAUGACAUCAAGUAUGCAUGCAAGAAAUAAAAGACUAUGCAGUAAAAAAAGAUAGAAAACGAAUGAAAACAUAUACCAGGUAGUGUGCACUCCAACCUGAGAAAGAACUUGUGUGUUUUUAAUUUGUUUUUGUUUAUGAGGUUGUGAUAUGUAUUUGAUGAGCAGGAAAUUAUAAGGAAAUGUGUGAAUAUGGUGAUGGGGUUUUGAAUAGAGAUUGGAAUUGUGGUUGGAGUGUGAAGCUUGACACAUGGGGAGAGAAAUGAAGAAGUGAGAACAUGGAAAGAGAAGCUUGCUCUAACAUGUACCCAUAUCCCCUUGACUUUUUUUUGCUACCGUUUUUGUAUAUGAUUGGAGAUAAAUGAGUGUGUCUUUCCGUGAGAAAGGAAGAAAUGGUGUGAGAUGAAAUGGGUUGCAUAUAUGUCUAUGCUUGCAUGUGUGUAAUUACCCCUUUGUAUCAAUCUCUUGCAAGAAUAAGCCUCCACAUUUGAAAUUAAGAUACCAUGGCUUUUUCUGC